GGAUACGGCCAUACUGCGCAGAAAGCACCGCUUCCCAUCCGAACAGCGAAGUUAAGCUGCGUCAGGCGGUGUUAGUACUGGGGUGGGCGACCACCCGGGAAUCCACCGUGCCGUAUCCU
rnacentral:rRNA from 1 species